rnacentral:rRNA from 1 species
UACGAAGGGGGCUAGCGUUGUUCGGAUUUACUGGGCGUAAAGCGCACGUAGGCGGAUCUUUUAAGUCAGAGGUGAAAGCCCGGGGCUCAACCCCGGAACUGCCUUUGAAACUAGAUUGCUAGAAUCCUGGAGAGGUGAGUGGAAUUCCGAGUGUAGAGGUGAAAUUCGUAGAUAUUUCGGAAGAACACCAGUGGCGAAGGCGACUCACUGGACAGGUAUUGACGCUGAGGUGCGAAAGCGUGGGGAGCAAACAGGG